GGUGGAAGAGAGAGGCCCCAUCCACUCUCUAAAGACAUUUAUUCGGGUCUGGAUGUUCUACACGCUCCUACUUCAUGAACUAUAAGCCUUCUUCCUUUUGGGAGCCUUUGUGCAUCUUCAUGAAGUUACAGACUAUGCCCUCCGGCUUUGCAGGACCUUAUUCUGUUGCAUCACUCCUGUGCUGGUGGUAGCUUCCCAGGUCAUCCCUACGCUGUGAGAGCUCAUUCCUGACUAUGAACAUCCUCCACGGCACCCAGGUCGCCUUCGG